rnacentral:rRNA from 1 species
GUGUCAGCAGCCGCGGUAAUACGUAGGGGGCAAGCGUUGUCCGGAUUUAUUGGGCGUAAAGAGCGUGUAGGCGGCUUGGUAGGUCUUGCGUCAAAACCUGAGGCUCAACCUCAGUUCGCGUGGGAAACCACCUAGCUAGAGUCCGGAAGAGGAGAACGGAAUUCCCAGUGUAGCGGUGAAAUGCGCAGAUAUUGGGAAGAACACCGGUGGCGAAGGCGGCCAACUGGACCAUUUCUGACGCUGAGGCGCGAAAGCGUGGGGAGCAAACAGGAUUAGAUACCCUGGUAGUCCACGCCGUAAACGAUGGGUGCUAGGUGUGGGCGGUGUCGACUCCGUCCGUGCCGAAGCUAACGCAUUAAGCACCCCGCCUGGGAGUACGGCCGCAAGGCUAAAACUCAAAGGAAUUGACGG